GUGAAAGUUUAUUAAAAAGCUUUAGAGCAGGAUUGGAAGGAAAGGACACUUAGAAGAGGUCCAAGUGGGCGACUUGAAGGACAAGUGUGGUUUGACUUAGGGUUUUAUAUGUUGGCAUACUUCUGGGGUCUUCUCCCCUGAUUCUUUCGUUGAGGGUGGUUUGUCCAUAUGUGUAGUGACCUGCUAGCACUUGGGAGGUGAGCAUGCGCAGUGUGUUUACUGGAGUUGUACUUAUGCUCACUUGAAACAUUCUUCCCUUUACUGGUGACAUGCCCCCAGAAGAUCAAAUACCAGUUAAACUCCGCCAUUUUGCCUCUUGGUGCUCAUGUGUGAGUCCGCACGCCCAACUCCUGGGAUCUUAUCAGGAAGCUGAUGAUCACCAGUUUCAGGUUUCUUCUAUCUAUAGGGAGACUGCCUUUCCCUGGAGCUGGCACCAGGGUUGCAGUCAGGACAAGAGAGCAGGUUUGAACGUCUUCGGCUCCUAGAACUGCACAAGCUGUGUCUUCAGUGCCCAGAGGCGGCUGCAACGUCUCCCCAGUUCUCCUCUCAGAACAAUGGAAAUUUUUUUUAGAGGCGUAAUAGGAAGGUUUGCAUUGAAUUAUUAAACAAUGGGUAUUGAAAAAUAUGUUUUCUUUGACCUCUGUACUUCUAGCUUUUACCAGUCAGUGUUUUCUUGUACCAAGGCUAAGAUAUGUAUAACACUGAAAUGGAUGUCUUCUUAUAUAAUAUUUUACAAGCUUUUGAAAACCUGUGCCCUUUAAUAAAUUUUAAAACGUUUCAUGCCCUUCUUUCAUUUUCUGAAAUUCAAAAUAAAUUAAAUAUCAGGGGACACAAAAGCACAAGAAGAAAGCACUGCUUUGUUUUCAAAUCAGGCCCCAAGCCACUGCCCUUGAGAUUCUUGUGGGUCAGCACAAGCACCCCUCCCAUCUCCAGUUCCUGAGACUCAUUGUUCCAAAUGGUAAUAUUAACAUUUGCCAUGUUCACUCAUGGAUAACUUUCCAUUAUUUCAGUUGUAAACAUUUUCUAUGUGAAAUAUGAGAUGAGACCAAUGAAACAAUAGAUUUUAAACAAAUUAAAUAAGAAUUUUUGCAAGCAAAGGAGCAUCAUGACUUUGAAAUGGCCACUUUUGGGGGCCAUGCUUCUAGGGCUAAAAUACGCAUGCUUCUGGGGCUAAUACCUUGGCUCCAAAAAUUGGGAGGUACUCAUUCAGUGCAGCGGAAAGGAGUAUAAGCUUUGGAAGCAGGUGAUCUGGAUGCAAAUCACAUUCUGCCACAUUUUAGCUGUUGCCGCUUUGACCUAAUUGUUUAACAUCUUUCUAAGCCUCAGUUUCCUCAAUGGUAAAAGGAGAAAAAAGAUAAGAAAAAAUGAAUGCAAAAUGUCUGCACAUCUCAAGAAGCUAGUAGUUACCAAGAUUGGAACUAUCACUAAUGAUAUGUCUUUUCCUUAGAGAUCUUUUAGGAUGAUUUUUUUUUUUUUUUUAGAAUCUCUUGUCUUUUAAAGUCAAAUUAAGAGAAUAGAAGUGGAUAAUAAAUGGCUGGCCGUUCUAGUUUUAGAGGGAAAAAAAACUGUUGCUAUAGUCACUAUCCUACAAUUUUGUGUGGUUCGUUAAAUGACUCUGAAGUUCACUCCAAAAGAUGUUUCCAAAAUGUUCUGAGCGACCACAUUCUCCUUAGAAUUGUGCACAGACUGGCUGGGUAGCCACUUUGAAGGGAUUCAAUUCCUUUGAAUGUUUAAGUAAGUUGUUUGGUGUUAAAGAAAUUCUCUUUGUUUUAUGGCCACACCACAAAUAUGGACAUUGUAAAAAAGGCUUAAUGAUUGCAAAUCCGCCUUGCCAUUUCCUCUAUGUCCAGAUAUAUGUCUUUUUAGAACACUGAUGUGUAGUAAGCAGAGAUUUUUAUUCCUUUUUAAUUUUUUUCCCCUUUGAUUCCUGAACCUUUGUCAUCGACACAGGAAAAUUAGACCCAGUCCCUGCUACCAAAAGCUACCGCGAUCAUUCCACAGUUUCACACGCUUUCAGGUUUCCAUUUUCCUUCUCUCACCCCAGAUGCCUGGCAUACGCGAUAGCAGCAAAAACAAAAUCUGUUGCAUUUUUGGAAUGUUAUUAACACUGAAGCAGCCCAGGGAUUGCAACAGCUAAGAUAGGGAUCCCCACCCCCAACUUUUUUCUCACUAGAGAGCAAAGAGCAACUCUUAAAUCCAGAAAGCGAGGAGAACCUUGUCCGGAAGAGGCACUCAAAUGCAUUGAAUCCACUGAUUUCCCUCUGCUUGCCACCCCAGCCUUCACCACCCCAUCUCGACUUUCCCACAGGAAAACCAUGUUAGGUGUUAGACAAUGAUGCCACACAAUAGAAAUAUAAAUCCAGUGUUUGUCUAGCAUAAUAUAAAUGGCACUGCUGAACUCCAUCCUUCCUCCCAUUGACAACAUCAGAGAGAUAGUUAGUGAGGGGCAAAAUCAUCUGUGAUUGUCUCUGCAUGGAUGUUGAAAUUGCUCCCCCCAGGGUCUUCUAGGGUUUUUAAGCAUAAAGGUGUUCAUCCAACUGAAAAAAUUGUAUAUCUAUAAGCAAUUUGAGAUUCAGCAUGUCUGGCAAUGCACAUUUUUUUAAGGAUGAGAAAAUGCAGCAUGAAAUGUGUUUAUGUAUGCUGUGCUGGGGAAUUUCUGAACCUUUCACUGUCAUCUUGAAGCCUUUAAGAGGGAAGCUCUUGAGGAUGUUGGAUUAUAAAAGUCAUUCUCUCAUUUCUGGGACUUAAGGACACGUCUCUGAGCAUAACAAAUGUGCGAUCACAAAUGAAGGUGCCUUGAGCUUAAUGGAAGAAAGGUUUAUCUUCAACACUGACAUUUCUACUUCUCUAAUAAAAUCAUAUUGUGCCUCUUUUUUUAUUAAAAGGUUUCUUCGCCCUUCCCCUUUCCUAGGGCUGAUGGGAUUCAUCCCCUAAAGCUGGUGUGGUUGGCAGUAACAGGGCUGAGUAGAUUUAGCUGGUAUGAUCAGGAGAUUGGUUACAGGGGAAUUGAGCAAAUAAGUAAACAUAUUGAAAAUGAUGGGAGCCAGGCCGCUCACUGUUGGAGAGAUCUAUAUUUGAGUUACAAAUAUAGAAUGAAAGAAGGCUAGAAUAAAUGCUGUGGUGUUGGAAUAGAACUGAAAGUAUUGGUGUGAACUCCUGGUUUUUAAUGUAAAUAUAUAACAAAGAUUUAUGUGUAUUAUGUGUGUAUAUAUAAAUAUAUACAUAUAUAGAGAUACACAUAUACAUGCAUAGACAUAUCUAUCUAUCUAUAUACCUAAUUUCCUAGCUCUAUCUGCACCGAGUGCCUGAAAGUAAAGGCACCCAAGUAGCAAUAAGCAUACCUAGCAUCCACAUCAUGGCUUCUAGAUAUUAUUUUUUAUUAAAAGGAAAUAGGACUCCAUCAGGAAAUAGCUGAUUCCAGGAUGUGGUAGUUUUAAAACUGGUCCACUCGAAGAUAUCUACAUCUUAACCCCUGGAACCUGUAAAUGUUACCUUAUUUGGAAAAAGGAUUUUUGCAGAUGUGAUUAAGUUAAAGAUUUUUAAAUGAGGAGAUUAUCCUGGAUUAGCCAGGUGGAUCCUAAAUGCCAUCACAAGUGUCUUUAUAAGAGAGAGACGGGGGAGAUUACAGACAGAAGAGGAGACAGCGUGACUAUGGAGGCAGUGAUUCAGUCACAAGUCAAGGAGUGCCAGCAGUUACCCCAAGCUGGAAGGGGCAAUAGACAGAUUCUCCCCUAGAGCCUCUGGAGGGAGUGUGGUUCUGCCAAUAGCUAAUUUCAUCCCAUUAAUAUUGGUUUCAGACUCCUGGCCUCCAAAUUUGUAAGGGAAUAGUUUCUGUUGUUUCCAAAUCUGUGGUAAUUUGAGAUGGCAGUCAAAGGAAGCUAAUAUACAGGCCUGGGGCAGGGAAUGUCCAAGAUGAGCCUGGAGCAUCUUCUUGAGCCAGAAAGUGAGGUGAUGCUCAGGAUGAGAAAGGACACAGGGACCAGCCUGAAGGGACUUCCAUGGGCCAAAGUGAGGGCAAUAAAGAAUCAAAGGGAAUAUCAAGAAUAAAAGUUGGGCACGGUGGCUCAUCCCUAUAAUCCCAGCACUUUGGGAGGCCAAGGCUGGUGGAUCACCUAAGGUCAGGAGUUCGAAACCAACCUGACCAACAUGGUGAAACCCCAUCUCUACCAAAAAUUACAAAAAUUAGCCGGGCAUGGUAGUAUGUGCCUGUAGUCCUAGCUAUUCAGGAGGCUGAGGCGGGAGGAUUGCUUGAGCCCAGGAUGUUCAGGUUGCAGUGAGCGGUGAUUGUGCCACUGCACUCCAGCCUGAGCAACAGACCGAGAUCCUGUCUCAAAAAAAGAAAGGAGAGAGAGAGAAAAGAAAGAAAGAGAAAUGGAAUUAGAAUAUCACCAUUUGGCAACCAACAGAAUGGAAAUUAAUUUGGACAAGAAUCAUCAAUGGAUGCAAAAACUAGUGGAUGACAGUUUGAUGAGAAACAGCAUCUUUACAUUAUCUCACAGUGUCUUCCAACAAAAUACUUGUUAACUCUUAUUACCCAUUUUUAAUUUAACAUCACCAGUAAUGGGACAAAUUGACAUCAUGUACCCUUGAUAUGAUAGACUGAGAACAAAGCAUUACUCUGUGGUGUUCCUGCCAAAAAUGCAUGACAUAAAGCUAAUCACGAGGCAGUAUCAGACAAACCUGAACUGAGGAGUAUUCUACAGAUAACUGGCUGUACCCUUUGAAAAUGUCAGAGGCAUGCAGGACAGGGAAAGGCUGAGAAACUGUUCCAAAUUAAUUACUUCCAACAACCAAUCCUCAACUGCAUUCUGGACCCAUAAAGGAUAUUAUCAGGGCAGAUGGUAAAAUUGGAAGUUUGUGAAUAAAUGGUGACAUUGUAUUGAUGUUUCUACUUAGUUAUGUAGGAGAAUGUCCUGCUUUUAGGAAAUGCACACUAAAGUAUUAAGAGAUAAUGAGACAUUAUGUCUGCACCUGCCUCCCAAAUUGUUCAGCACAAUAAUUUAUAAAAAUACGCAGAAAGAUUGAAAGACAAAUGUGGUAAAAUGUUAACAAUUAAGGACUCUAGGUAAAGGGCAUAUGGGAGUUUGUUGUAGCAUUCUUGCAACAUUUUUGUAAGUUUGAAAUUAUUUCUAAAUGAAAAGUUAAAAAGAAAAAAAGAUAAUUAUUCUACCAUGGUACCCUGUAACUUUCAUUCAAAAAGUACUUAUGGAAUUCCCAUUCAGAAAGUGAAAGGGCAUUGGAGGGAAAGCCAGGGUACCUGGUUCUGCCACUAUCUGGGUCCCCUUGGGCAGGUAACUUAACCUCUCUGAACCUCAGUCUCCUCAGCUUUAUCAUUCUCUGCUUUUCUACACCUAAGGCAAUUGAUUUCACUAGUUGGUUUAGUUCUGAUUUAGAAGGAACCAACAAUGGCAUAGUUAAAAAUCAUUACUGUGGAAUGGGGAGUGGCUGCUAGUGAAUAAUUGAAUGUCAUUUCUUUUUGCAGGCAAAAAUGUUCUAAAAUUAGAUUGUGGUGAUGACUGAAUAACUCCAUGAAAAUAGUCAAAAAUAUUGAAUCAUGCACUUGAAUGGGUGAAUUAUUUGGUAUGUAAAUGAUAUCUCAAGGAAGCCAUAGAACUCAUUGCUGUUGAUUUUCUCACCCCACAGCCAACCGUGAUUCUAUAAGGUUAGACUGAAGAAGCCUGUGAUGUAAUGGUGAUGGUUUAACAGCUGG
rnacentral:lncRNA from 10 species